AGAACUAACAAGGAUUCCCCUAGUAACUGCGAGUGAAGCGGGAAAAGCUCAAAUUUAAAAUCUGGCAGCUUUGCUGUCCGAGUUGUAAUCUAGAGAAGUGCUAUCCGCGCUGGACCGUGUACAAGUCUCCUGGAAUGGAGCGUCAUAGAGGGUGAGAAUCCCGUCUUUGACACGGACUACCAGGGCUUUUGUGAUGUGCUCUCAAAGAGUCGAGUUGUUUGGGAAUGCAGCUCUAAAUGGGUGGUAAAUUCCAUCUAAAGCUAAAUAUUGGCGAGAGACCGAUAGCGAACAAGUACCGUGAGGGAAAGAUGAAAAGAACUUUGGAAAGAGAGUUAAACAGUACGUGAAAUUGUUGAAAGGGAAACGCUUGAAGUCAGACACGUUGUUCAGGGAUCAACCUUGCUCUUUUGCUUGGUGUACUUCCUGGAUUGACGGGUCAGCAUCAAUUUUGACCGGUGGAUAAAGUUCAAAGGAAUGUAGCAUCUUCGGAUGUGUUAUAGACUUUGUUUGUAUACAUCGGUUGGGAUUGAGGAACUCAGCACGCCGCAAGGCCGGGUUUUUAACCACGUUCGUGCUUAGGAUGCUGGCAUAAUGGCUUAAUCGACCCGUCUUGAGACACGGACCAAGUGAGUCUAACAUGCAUGCGAGUGUUUGGGUGGAAAAACCCGAGCGCGUAAUGUAAGUGAUAAAUGUGAGAUCCCUGUCGUGGGGAGCAUCGAUGCCCGGACCAUGACCUUUUGUGAUCGGAUCCGUCGGUUGAGCAUGUAUGCUAGGUACCCGAUAAGAUGGUGAGACUAUGCCUGAGAUAGGGUGAAGCCAGAGGAACACUACUGGUGGAGGCUACGUAGCGAUUCAUGUACGAUGUCAAAUGCGAUCGUCAGUAAUUUGGGUAUAGGGGCGUACAAGAGCUAAUCGAACCAUUUAGUAGCUGGUUCCAUGCCGAAGUUUCCCUCAGGAUAGCAGAAACUCAUAUCAGAAUUGUAUGUGGUAAAGACGAAUGAAUUAGAGGCCUUGGGGUGUGCAACAACCUUAACCUAUUCUCAAACUUUAAAUAUGUAAGAACGGGUCGUACUCUUAGAUUGGAC
rnacentral:rRNA from 1 species